UGUGACGCCACUGGAGGUUCAUAGCUCACGGUCAUUGUUGCGACGUGCCGGUUUAGUGUUACACACCAGGAAGUAACGUGAAUUUUACGAGGCGGCGGGGCUUCUCUUUAACAUCAACCUUCCAAUGAGUCGAGUUUCUUUCACUCCCGGUGCUUGCUAGCUGUCAGCAACUGCAUUUUGCAGAAUUUGGAUUGGAACCGUUAAAAAAAACCCCAAAAAUAAGUGAUUCUCACAAUGUUGACUCCGCUCUUGUUGUUCUGUGUAUUUCCAGCCUGGAGUAAACAGCACACGGCUUUAAAUGUACAAUUAGAUGCCCAGGAAUACUCCUAUCAGGUAACUGGAUACCUCGAUGACUGCACUUGUGAUGUUGAAACUAUUCGAGACUUUAACAACAGGAAGUUAUUCCCCAAAAUACAAGAACUCCUUGAAAGUGACUAUUUCAGAUAUUACAAGGUGAAUUUAAAGAAGCCUUGUCCCUUCUGGUCAGACAAUAGCUACUGUGGCCUGAAGGAUUGCGCUGUUAAGCCUUGUGAGCCAAAUGAAAUACCAGCAGGAAUUAGAUCAGAAAGUUUUAAGUACACCAAGGAAUCAAAUGUCAUUUCCCAAUAUGAACGUGAAUGUGAAAAGGCUGAGAAGCUUGGUGCCGUUAACAAUUCUUUGAGUGAAGAAACAAAACAAGCAGUGCUUGAUUGGACCAGACAUGAUGACUCUACAGACAACUUCUGUGAAGUUGAUGAUGAACACUGUCCAGAUGCUGAAUACGUAGACCUGCUUCUCAACCCUGAACGUUACACAGGCUAUAAAGGUCCAGAAGCGUGGAAGAUCUGGAAUAGUAUCUAUGAAGAAAACUGUUUUAAGCCAAACUCCAUUAGAAGACCAUUCAACCCACUGCUUCCUGGUAGAGAUGAUGAAGGUGGAACCUUCUAUAGUUGGCUACAAGGAUUAUGUCUAGAGAAGAGAUCAUUCUAUCGAGCAAUUUCAGGUCUGCAUACAAGCAUCAACAUACAUCUUAGUGCACGAUAUCUAUUACAAGAUACCUGGUAUGAAAGAAAGUGGGGACACAACAUUACAGAAUUCAAGCAGCGGUUUGAUGCACAGAUUACCAAAGGAGAAGGACCGCACAGGCUCCGAAACCUUUAUUUCUUGUAUCUUGUGGAGCUGAGAGCUUUAUCCAAGGUGUUACCUUUCUUUGAGCGUUCUACCUUCCAACUUUACACAGGCAACAAUACACUGGAUACAAAAAAUAAAAAACUUCUCCUGGAAAUUCUCAAUUUGGCCAAAUCAUUCCCCUUUCCCUUUGAUGAACAUUCCUUAUUUGCUGGGGAAAAAAAGGAAGCUGAAAAUCUCAAGAAAGGUAUGGAGCAGAUUCUGGAGGAGCAGGGCAAUUCUGACAGUAACUACAGGAUUUCUGCAUUUAACUGCAUGUGCAGCCACUGGAAGUUGAAGUCUGAUUUGCACUUUAAUAGCAGAAGACUUUCGGCUGCAUUUCAAAAACAUUUCACGGAUAAUGGAUUGUGUUGGUUGCUUCAAGUGUAGACUUUGGGGCAAGCUUCAGACACAGGGACUGGGUACUGCUCUGAAAAUCCUGUUCUCAGAGAAGCAAAUAAACAGUUUGCCAGAUUCUGGUCCAUCUCAAAGAUUCCACCUAAAGCGCCAAGACAUUGUUGCACUCCUUAAUGCUUUUGGAAGGAUUUCUACUAGUAUCCGGGAGCUUCAGAACUUCAGAGAACUAUUGGAAACUGUACAAUAAUGGCUCCAAAUUGCCUAUUCUUUGAUAAGACAGAGGACCUUUUUUCAUAAAGUAUUUAGUUUUUUGCAAAAAUUAAAAUAUAACAAUUCCACAGCUUAAGGUUGUACUUUAAAAAAAAACUACUGAUCACUCAUGGGCAACCUGCCUAAAUUGAAAAGGGAAAGAAAAUAGCUUGGUAUAUGGAGGGAAUAUCAGCGAUUGUCCUGGAUCUUUCCACUGCUAAAUAUUCUAAUCUAAGUAUUGAUGAUGUGUUGCAUAUUUUUGAUUGAGAGUUUACACUGGUGAAAUGUUUAAAGCUCAUGUUGAGUUUAUAAAAAUGCACUGUUCCACCACAAAGCUGUUGAGUUUGACUUUUUUGGUUAUUGGAAAUGUAACUUGGUAAUUAUUUUCAAUCUGGUUAUUAUGUUGCUGAAAUACAAUCAGAAAAUAUUGUACCUUUGCUAAUCUCAGCAUUUUGUUUGUUAUGAAAAUGGUGGAGCAAAGCUCCCUAUACUUUGGCUCAAUAAAUGGUCAAAUGCU